rnacentral:lncRNA from 1 species
AUCGGGUAGAGGUGCCUUUGGAGGGCCAGGAGGGGUCCCCGGGUAUGUCUCCCACCCAGCCGCCUUGGUGAGACCCGGGACGUCUCAGAGUGGUCCUGCUGGGGCGGAGGCUGCUCUGGUUCAUUCCCCAUGUCUUCUACAGGUCUGAGACAAUGAACAACACCCCAGAGCAGGUGUGCCCUGCAGGACUGGGGUGGCAGGAAGGCACAGACGCAGGGAAUGGCAGUAGCAGGAAAUGGGGGCUUCUCUUGAGCACACCUUCCAGAAGCGACUCCUGCACUCUGGUCGUCAGGCUUGGGCCCUCCAGUAGGCUUCUGCCUGGGAAGGCCACCUGGAGAAUGAAGGCAGCCACCAGCUCUGCCAGGCCUCGCAGGGCUGGACUUGGCCCAGGCCCUUCCACCGUGUGUUCACUAGUGCAGCCCACCUAUAGCAGGCCUCAGGCCAGAGGCCAGUGUUUGGGGCUCUCAUUGCCUUGUUCACUCACCUCUUCCUCACUGGUAACGCCAUGUUCUCCUAGUGACUAGGGACCAAGUGGCCCCUAGGCUAUUUGAUGUCCUCUUUCCCAAAAUGAGGGGCAACCCUUGAGCCCUGAUAAGACCCCCUGCCCUCCUACUGCUUCCUGAGGGGCAGCCACUCUGCCCUUCUGUGUGGAGAACAUUGUCCCGUUUCCUGGGAGCCGAAAGGGUACGGUAACCAAGCAGCCCACCACCCCAGGGGUGCGGGUGGGAGGCCUGGGCACCCACAGGUAGCCAUGUUUGGAAUGCUCCCCCAGGGAAGAACUUGGAUGCCCAACACCCCAGAUGCCUGUGAAGGGGACACGAGGAGCCCAUUUUUUCUCAUCAGCGUAAUUAGUCAAAUCAAAUCAAGCCACGCCGCCUGAUCCUUCUCUCAGGAAGGUAUAGAGACCCUGGAGGAAGUGCUGGCGUACUAUAGAGAGGGGCCCGGAACCACCAGGGAGCCCGGAAGCAGGGUCAGCAGUCGGGAAGGGCAGGCGAGAAGCAGUAGGGGAAGCGGGCCUUCAGGCACAGAGGGCCGUGCCACUGCUCCACCCUGGUGUCUGAGUGGGGCUGGGGUCCAAGCACAGCAUACCCCCCACUUCCUAGGGCUUCUUUCUGGCUGACUUGAAAGCUGGCUGAGACCCGGGCCCAGCGCAGGCUCUAGGAGCACAGCCUGAGUCUGGUCUGCUACUUCCCAACUGAUCUUGGGUGAUAAACCUUCCUAAGCUCAGUUUCUUCAUCUCCAAAACAGGCGCAGAACUCGCCGUCAGGUGGUUGGGAAGAUCACACAAGACAAUGUGUGAAGCAUACAUAGAUAAUAAACCCUGCUCUCGUGCAGUAACCCCAGCAUACAGGCGGGCAGAUGCACUGACAGUCCCC